CCCUUAGAUGUUCUGGGCAGCACGCGCGCUACAAUGGUCUUCGCAAACGGAUGCAUUCUCGAAGGAGAAUGCCAAUCUUGGAAUCUAUGCCUUGGUCGGGACAGUUGCUUGCAAUUUUUCGACUCGAACCAGGAAUUCCUUGUAAUCGUGAUUCAUCACAUCACGAUGAAUACGUCCCUGCCCUUUGUACACACCGCCCGUCGCUCCUACCGAUCGAAGAGUUAGGUAAAUUGUUUUGAUCGAUAAGAUUUGACUAUGGUCAACUCUCGUUGUGAAAUUCUGUGAAUCUGACUGUUUAGAGGAAGGAAAAGUCGUAACA
rnacentral:rRNA from 1 species